rnacentral:rRNA from 1 species
AAACUCAAAGGAAUUGACGGGGGCCCGCACAAGCGGUGGAGCAUGUGGUUCAAUUCGACGCAACGCGAAGAACCUUACCGGGGUUUGAACUGUAUGGGACAGCUGCAGAGAUGCAGUUUUCCUUCGGGACCCAUAUAGAGGUGCUGCAUGGCUGUCGUCAGCUCGUGUCGUGAGAUGUUGGGUUAAGUCCCGCAACGAGCGCAACCCUCGCCUCCUGUUGCCAACAGAUAAUGCUGGGCACUCUGGAGAGACUGCCGGUGACAAACCGGAGGAAGGUGGGGAUGACGUCAAGUCCUCAUGGCCUUUAUGCCCCGGGCUACACACGUGCUACAAUGGUCGGUACAAAGGGUUGCAAUACCGUGAGGUGGAGCUAAUCCCAAAACCGAACUACCCACGUUACGGUAGUUGGUAG